CCUACGGGAGGCAGCAGUGGGGAAUCUUGGACAAUGGGGGGAACCCUGAUCCAGCGACGCCGCGUGAGUGAAGAAGUAUUUCGGUAUGUAAAGCUCUAUCAGCAGGGAAGAAAGAAAUGACGGUACCUGACUACGACGCCCCGGCUAACUACGUGCCAGCAGCCGCGGUAAUACGUAGGGGGCAAGCGUUAUCCGGAUUUACUGGGUGUAAAGGGAGCGUAGACGGCGAUGCAAGUCUGAAGUGAAAGGCGGGGGCCCAACCUCCGGAGUGCUUUGGAAACUGUAUGGCUGGAGUGCAGGAGAGGUAAGUGGAAUUCCUAGUGUAGCGGUGAAAUGCGUAGAUAUUAGGAGGAACACCAGUGGCGAAGGCGGCUUACUGGACUGUAACUGACGUUGAGGCUCGAAAGCGUGGGGAGCAAACAGGAUUAGAUACCCUGGUAGUC
rnacentral:rRNA from 1 species